rnacentral:rRNA from 1 species
AGAGUUUGAUCAUGGCUCAGAUUGAACGCUGGCGGCAGGCCUAACACAUGCAAGUCGAGCGGAUGAGAAGAGCUUGCUCUUCGAUUCAGCGGCGGACGGGUGAGUAAUGCCUAGGAAUCUGCCUGAUAGUGGGGGACAACGUCUCGAAAGGGACGCUAAUACCGCAUACGUCCUACGGGAGAAAGCAGGGGACCUUCGGGCCUUGCGCUAUCAGAUGAGCCUAGGUCGGAUUAGCUAGUUGGUGGGGUAAAGGCUCACCAAGGCGACGAUCCGUAACUGGUCUGAGAGGAUGAUCAGUCACACUGGAACUGAGACACGGUCCAGACUCCUACGGGAGGCAGCAGUGGGGAAUAUUGGACAAUGGGCGAAAGCCUGAUCCAGCCAUGCCGCGUGUGUGAAGAAGGUCUUCGGAUUGUAAAGCACUUUAAGUUGGGAGGAAGGGCAUUUACCUAAUACGUGAGUGUUUUGACGUUACCGACAGAAUAAGCACCGGCUAACUCUGUGCCAGCAGCCGCGGUAAUACAGAGGGUGCAAGCGUUAAUCGGAAUUACUGGGCGUAAAGCGCGCGUAGGUGGUUCGGUAAGUUGAAUGUGAAAUCCCCGGGCUCAACCUGGGAACUGCAUCCAAAACUGCCGAGCUAGAGCAUGGUAGAGGGUGGUGGAAUUUCCUGUGUAGCGGUGAAAUGCGUAGAUAUAGGAAGGAACACCAGUGGCGAAGGCGACCACCUGGACUGAUACUGACGCUCAUGUGCGAAAGCGUGGGGAGCAAACAGGAUUAGAUACCCUGGUAGUCCACGCCAUAAACGAUGAGAACUGGAUGUCGGAGGGGUCUGCCCUUCGGUGUCGUAGCUAACGCGUUAAGUUCUCCGCCUGGGGAGUACGGCCGCAAGGUUGAAACUCAAAUGAAUUGACGG